CCUGAUUGUUUAAGCUUCAGGCUAAACCUGGACCUUCCCCGGCCCCUACCAGCAGCACAUGAAAGUCGCCAUUGUUCCUCAUCACUUGGUAGCGUCAGACUUUAUAAUUUUCUGCUAGUCCAAUGGGUGUGAAAUGCUUGAUUAUUUUUUAAAUCUGUAGUCCACUGAGUUGUUGAUGACUCAUAGUUCAGAUUCCCAUGCCUGACCUCCCAACAGCCUGGGAGGCGCAGAUGUCCAAGCUGAUCCGGGUGGAGCGCCACUUCCAUGGUGAGGGGACUGCCCACUGGAGCAAGUGAGGGUGGCAGCUCAGGGUGGGGCAUGCUAGCUAGGAGCCUCUCCUACAGGCACCAGGGAGUGGGGCAGGCCCCGCUUGGCCAGAAUGGGAUGGUGGCUGAGUUGGCCUUCUCUGACUGUGUCCACUGGCUCCUGGCUCUGUCCCUUCUCUGUAGCUAUUUAGAGAGGGCUACUGCCUGAUCUUCCGUGUUUUCUCCUCUCUUCCUCUCUAAAGGGAGGAGAAGUGUUCUAGACAGAGAUUUCACAGGGGUUUGGUGGAGAAGUGACUUUUCUGGUUUUUCAAGACCAGAGGCUGGCUUUGGUGAGGACUCAGUAACUUUGAGCUGCUCCCUGGAAACUGCUAAGUGUGAUGAUGGGGCUCAUCUCCACAGGAUUGUCAGACAUGUGUCAUCACACCUGAGCUAUAUUUUAAAAGAUUGCCUUUUAGCUUUUCAUAAGUCACUCCCCCACCUCACAGGGAUGGGGCAAUGCCAGAACUGGUGCAAAGGCACCCUUUCUGUCCCAGUGCUUUCAGAAGUGAGUAGGAAGCCCCACGAUGCUGCUGCCAGCAGCGCUCACACUCAGGUCGGCCAGGGACAAGGGCUGAAUUUUGCACCUAUACUCGCCACACCAGCAGGCGAGGGGCAGAGCAUAUUGUGCUGCCAGCACAGACUAGCUCUGCACAGCCUUAGCAGUGGCUUGGCUUUGUCCUGGGCCCAGACACAUUCUCCAGAGAAGGGGCUGGGAGUAGGGACUGGACCACCUGGGACCUGCCUUGACACAGGACAGAGCCAGCCAGACUUGAACUAGAAGGGGCUGGGGGCUGACUUAAGCCACUCCAGGGCU
rnacentral:lncRNA from 1 species